AGUGGCAGUUCUUGUGGUGCGGGGAUGCGGCCACAUGAUGGCGCUGUCGGAAACGGCCUGAGAGAUGAAGCGCUGCAGGUGCUGCCGCCUUUUUGUGGGUGGGCCAAGGACUGGCCUGAGUCCUGCUAAAUAACCUGUUUUGGCCGAACCUCUUGUCCCUUAAAAAGUGCUACUGAGGUAUCAUCACUCCCCAGUGGUUCUCAUUCUCAGAAGAUAGUCCACAGUCAAAGAAGCCAAAGACCCCGUCUGUGACAUCAGCAUAUGCCCAGACUUUGAUCUGCAGGACUCAUCCUCCUCAGCUGCUAAAGCC
rnacentral:lncRNA from 1 species